rnacentral:lncRNA from 1 species
GUAACAGAUUUGAUACAGAAAACCUUUUGACAUAUGUUUUGCUUUAUUUGUACCCCACAACGUUCACGGUUCAUCGCGGGGAAUGUAUCGUAGGGAAAGACACCAGGAAAGAGAGGGAAAAUGAUGGUACUGGGCACGAAAUUAAUGAAACCUGGGGCAGAGUUCCAGCCACGUUUCUCAGGUAGACAGUGUUAACUGCACAGGAUACCCAGUCCUAUUACAGUUUUCAGAAAUGAGUUAGGAAGCUGGAGUUUCCCUUAGCAAGACAGGGCAUUUCCGAGCAUACCAUUCUUUUUCCCUUGAACUUGUCACAUUUACUGACAUGUUUAGAGACCUCUUGAGGUACUUAGAGAGUAAAGUAUCUAAGUCCUCUGUGGGGGUGUUAACCAGUCUUUGUUUGCUUCCCUGAAGCCGAGAUUGGAUAUGAGGAGUUUCUCACCAAUCCAUAUCGUAAAGUGGACCACAAAGGAGGAAGAACAGCGCAAGAGAUUCAACAGCCAGAUGGGAAUGAAGGAUUCACUAUUUUAUGGAAUUCGGAAAAACAACAACAUUAUCUGGAAGCGAUGAACAGAAUUCUUCAGAAUAAUGAUGUUUCGGAGGAGAAGUGGGUUAAAGAAGCGUCUGUUUUCAACAGGAAUUUAAGACAGCAAUUAAGUGUGGAAGACAAAGAAAAACCUAACGAAGCACUUAAUCCAGAUUUCCAAAGAAAGAGUCCGCUGUGCAGGGCGAUGCUGCCAUUCCUACAGGAGAACAUCCUCAUCGCUGCCAUCAUGAUGACGGCAAUCUUUGUGAUGAUUGUGCUGGUGCUGCUCUUCUCUUCAUACACGAGGAGGAAACAGGCAUUAUAUUCCCCAACAAACAUGAAUUACAGCCAUUAUCCACUGAAAGAAAAGAAUUGGUGGCAAAAGUGUGACGACCAAAAUCUGAGAGAAUUGACAGAAAAUCUAAGAAUCUAUUGCCGGAUCCAGGGAGCAGCCAAUCCAGAAGUUUAAAAAGUGAUGCCCUGGAGAGAUAAUUCACUUUGUGGUUAUCACGUGUUCCUUAAAAUGUUUCCCCACUUUUCCCAAUGUAGAAUGGUCCAAGAACAAGAGCAUUGCCAAUUAUGGUAAUGGCACUCCAGAGUGGUACAUGAACGUUAUAUUAACCCCAUUGAAGCCAAACAGUUGAUUGAUUUAUAGAGUUAAUAAAGCACUCGUUGGUUUAUUCA